CCACCAACGCGGUGCCCGCGGGCCCCUUGUUAGUUGCCCGCGGGGCAAGUUCUAAAAAUAGCCAUUGUCAUUAGGGAGCAUUGCCAAAUAAAUUAUUUAAUUUAAUAUAUUUACAUUGAAGUAGUAAAAUUUGUUUAUAUUCAGAAUUUAAAAAAAAGCUAAUUAUUAAAAACAUUUAAAUGUAAAUUUUUAUGCAUAAAUGUUAUCGGAGGGCAGCAGCGCCUGCAGUCCUGCUGCUCCCUCUCUGCCGACCUUAGAGCAGAGAGCAGC